rnacentral:tRNA from 1 species
UCCCUGGUGGCUCAGAGGUUAAAGCGUCUGCCUCCCAUGCAGGAGACCCGGGUUCGAUCCCUGGGUCGGGAA